UCCAGUAGUCCAUCCUUCUUUAUUCAAAUCAGCCCAUUUCCUCAACGCUUAUUCCCAAAUCUAGCCCACAAUUUCAAUCCAAAACACCCAGCAACAAGACAACAGCGUGCAACAUCAACUCACCAGACGACCACAAUGCAUCUUCUUCCCCAUACGUAACAAAAAACCUAGAAAAAAAAUCACUUAGAUGCAAUUGAACGAAAUCACGAGAAAUUUUGUCAAACAGCCUGAGCGUCCCUCUCCUCCGUUCUUAUCCAUUUGUACAAGAAUUUCCAGGUGUCUUCAUCUUCGCGUCUCAAUCGUCCUUGUGAAUAAAUUGACGGUCCUCCUCUCAAAUCUGUUCAGAAUGGUCGUUGAAGUUGUCGAUUCAUGAUGUGUGGUUGAAUAGUUUUCCUCCAGCUCGUUGUGAUCUCAGUUCGCUGCUCCAAAUAAGCAUAUUCCAGUCAAAGAAGGAGUUUCACAAGAUACUAUCUAAAAGGAGUGGACAUCCAGAAAUGAAGAGAAAUAAAAAAAAAGAAAGAAAGGCCUUCCAUGGAGGCAUAAGUAAGGAUGGUACCCCUGCGUGGGAUGGAUUAUUUAUAUUUCGUUUUUCUUAUUAUGUAUCCCCAUUCAACUUUAUUCAUGAAGUUUGUAUAAAUUUGAGUUUUGGGGCAAUGGAAUAUUUCAAAUGACGUUAUACAUCCUUCAAAUCGUUAGGCCUGCCUUUGGCACAAAAAGGUCAUAUAUUUGUAUAGAAAGAGCAAUAUUUGUUUAUGUAUUAUAACUGCUUCAACGAGUA